UUCCACAGCUACUGGUCUGCAGCUGUUCUUAUGGUAGCAGUUGUGGCAUUCCUCUGUGGGACAUCAACUGUUACACAAUUAAAUGCCACUUUCUUAGCAAAAGAGAAAGUGGGCCCUAUGUGUGACAAACAGAG